rnacentral:rRNA from 1 species
AACGAACGCUGGCGGCGUGCUUAACACAUGCAAGUCGCGGGAGGACUGAGGUGCUUGCACCUCAGAGCCGACCGGCGGACGGGUGCGUAACACGUAAGCAAUCUGCCCCUGUGCGGGGGACAACCCGGGGAAACCCGGGCUAAUACCGCAUGCACCGGCUCACUCGCCUGGGCGAGCCGGGAAAGAUGGCCUCUUCAUGAAAGCCAUCGCGCAGGGAGGAGCUUGCGGGCUAUCAGCUAGUUGGUGGGGUCAUGGCCCACCAAGGCGACGACGGCUAGCGGGUCUGAGAGGAUGAUCCGCCACAUUGGGACUGAGACACGGCCCAGACUCCUACGGGAGGCAGCAGUGGGGAAUAUUGGGCAAUGGCCGCAAGGCUGACCCAGCGACGCCGCGUGCGGGAGGACGCCCUUCGGGGUGUAAACCGCUGUCAGGGGGGACGAACCGCCGGUGGUCGAACAGGCCAUCGGUCUGACGGUACCCCCAGAGGAAGCGCCGGCUAA